CUUCUAAUUCCAUGGACUUGACUGCCGAGCAUCUCUAAAUGCCGAUGUGCCACCAGAUGCUGCAGGGGAUGGAGAGGACGCAAUGUAAUUUGUUCCUGAUACAGAUACCAUUGGUACAUUUGCAGAAGGGACUUGGUGUCCUGUUGGAGCAAAGCGUGAUGGACUACUGAUGGUCCCUAAACUUGGACGAGAGGGGUAUGGAACCACAUUGUGCUGAAUGUAGGGAGGCUUUCUUAGAGGAGACUCUGAAGAUGGAGAUGUACUGCUCAUUCGUUGUAUGUGACGAGAAUGAUUACUAGGAUUUGAAACAUCUUCAGUUUCUCCCCCUUCCAUAUCACCACCAAGGUUUCCUUCUGAGCCCAUCCUAGGAGUAUUAUGCCUACUCAUUGACCCAGAAUCAUUAGCAAUAUCCCCUUGAAGAGGAACAGAAGGGCGAAUUCCCAUUCCUUGCAUGCUAUUUCGUCUCUUUAAUUCCUCCUCCACAUUCAAGAUCUGCUUCAGCACUUGUACCAGAUUAUGCUUCUUCGCAUUCAAAACCAGUAACUUCUCCUCAACUUCCUUUUUCCUUUUCUCUUUAUCAUUUACAACAUCAGCUUUGCGCGGCUCCGUAUUAGGAUUAGCUGACAAAUCCAGCUUUUCAGGCUGAAAAUUCCCAUCGGCGUUAACUGCCUCAUCAUCGCCUUUCUCAGCAGGCGACAAAUCCAACAAGCCCUCCGGUUUAACCGAACAUUCACCAAAAUCCAAUCCUUUCUGAUCCUUGACCUCCUUAGAAGCUGAACCUUUGGAAGUCCCCUCCUCCUCUUCACGAUUAGUCCCUUCGCCGGCCUCCAAGUUAAGCGCAAUUGGAUCCACGUUCUCCUUUGGAUCAGUUUUAGGGUUAUGAUUAGAAGUGGUGGCGAUGGCGUUGGGGGAAGAGGCGAGGCGAGAAAGGGCUUUGGAGCGGCGGGGUAGGAGGGGUUUGAAGUCUUUGAGAGAGAUUUUGCGGACUGGCAUUGGCCAUCGACGAGGUACGUCCGGGACUCUGUGGAGGUUCCCUCUGUAAAGCGAAAUCGCCACCAUUUUUCCCUUUCUUCGUAUAAGAUUCUGUGUGCCAGCGCCUGUGCUUAGAUCAAAGAAGAGGCCGCCAUUCGCUGCCGCUGAUUUUCUCUCUCG
rnacentral:misc_RNA from 1 species